rnacentral:rRNA from 1 species
UUAAGCGACUAAGCGUACACGGUGGAUGCCCCGCAGUCAGAGGCGAUGAAGGACGUGCUAAUCUGCGAUAAGCGUCGGUAAGGUGAUAUGAACCGUUAUAACCGGCGAUUUCCGAAUGGGGAAACCCAGUGUGUUUCGACACACUAUCAUUAACUGAAUCCAUAGGUUAAUGAGGCGAACCGGGGGAACUGAAACAUCUAAGUACCCCGAGGAAAAGAAAUCAACCGAGAUUCCCCCAGUAGCGGCGAGCGAACGGGGAGGAGCCCAGAGCCUGAAUCAGUGUGUGUGUUAGUGGAAGCGUCUGGAAAGGCGCGCGAUACAGGUGACAGCCCGUACACAAAAAUGCACAUACUGUGAGCUCGAUGAGUAGGGCGGGACACGUGGUAUCCUGUCUGAAUAUGGGGGGACCAUCCUCCAAGGCUAAAUACUCCUGACUGACCGAUAGUGAACCAGUACCGUGAGGGAAAGGCGAAAAGAACCCCGGCGAGGGGAGUGAAAAAGAACCUGAAACCGUGUACGUACAAGCAGUGGGAGCCUCUUUAUGGGGUGACUGCGUACCUUUUGUAUAAUGGGUCAGCGACUUAUAUUCUGUAGCAAGGUUAACCGAAUAGGGGAGCCGAAGGGAAACCGAGUCUUAACUGGGCGUUAAGUUGCAGGGUAUAGACCCGAAACCCGGUGAUCUAGCCAUGGGCAGGUUGAAGGUUGGGUAACACUAACUGGAGGACCGAACCGACUAAUGUUGAAAAAUUAGCGGAUGACUUGUGGCUGGGGGUGAAAGGCCAAUCAAACCGGGAGAUAGCUGGUUCUCCCCGAAAGCUAUUUAGGUAGCGCCUCGUGAAUUCAUCUCCGGGGGUAGAGCACUGUUUCGGCAAGGGGGUCAUCCCGACUUACCAACCCGAUGCAAACUGCGAAUACCGGAGAAUGUUAUCACGGGAGACACACGGCGGGUGCUAACGUCCGUCGUGAAGAGGGAAACAACCCAGACCGCCAGCUAAGGUCCCAAAGUCAUGGUUAAGUGGGAAACGAUGUGGGAAGGCCCAGACAGCCAGGAUGUUGGCUUAGAAGCAGCCAUCAUUUAAAGAAAGCGUAAUAGCUCACUGGUCGAGUCGGCCUGCGCGGAAGAUGUAACGGGGCUAAACCAUGCACCGAAGCUGCGGCAGCGACGCUUAUGCGUUGUUGGGUAGGGGAGCGUUCUGUAAGCCUGCGAAGGUGUGCUGUGAGGCAUGCUGGAGGUAUCAGAAGUGCGAAUGCUGACAUAAGUAACGAUAAAGCGGGUGAAAAGCCCGCUCGCCGGAAGACCAAGGGUUCCUGUCCAACGUUAAUCGGGGCAGGGUGAGUCGACCCUAAGGCGAGGCCGAAAGGCGUAGUCGAUGGGAAACAGGUUAAUAUUCCUGUACUUGGUGUUACUGCGAAGGGGGACGGAGAAGGCUAUGUUGGCCGGGCGACGGUUGUCCCGGUUUAAGCGUGUAGGCUGGUUUUCCGGCAAAUCCGGAAAAUCAAGGCUGAGGCGUGAUGACGAGGCACUACGGUGCUGAAGCAACAAAUGCCCUGCUUCCGUGAAAAGCCUCUAAGCAUCAGGUAACAUCAAAUCGUACCCCAAACCGACACAGGUGGUCAGGUAGAGAAUACCAAGGCGCUUGAGAGAACUCGGGUGAAGGAACUAGGCAAAAUGGUGCCGUAACUUCGGGAGAAGGCACGCUGAUAUGUAGGUGAAGCGACUUGCUCGUGGAGCUGAAAUCAGUCGAAGAUACCAGCUGGCUGCAACUGUUUAUUAAAAACACAGCACUGUGCAAACACGAAAGUGGACGUAUACGGUGUGACGCCUGCCCGGUGCCGGAAGGUUAAUUGAUGGGGUUAGCGGUAACGCGAAGCUCUUGAUCGAAGCCCCGGUAAACGGCGGCCGUAACUAUAACGGUCCUAAGGUAGCGAAAUUCCUUGUCGGGUAAGUUCCGACCUGCACGAAUGGCGUAAUGAUGGCGGGCUGUCUCCACCCGAGACUCAGUGAAAUUGAACUCGCUGUGAAGAUGCAGUGUACCCGCGGCAAGACGGAAAGACCCCGUGAACCUUUACUAUAGCUUGACACUGAACAUUGAGCCUUGAUGUGUAGGAUAGGUGGGAGGCUUUGAAGUGUGGACGCCAGUCUGCAUGGAGCCGACCUUGAAAUACCACCCUUUAAUGUUUGAUGUUCUAACGUUGGCCCGUAAUCCGGGUUGCGGACAGUGUCUGGUGGGUAGUUUGACUGGGGCGGUCUCCUCCUAAAGAGUAACGGAGGAGCACGAAGGUUGGCUAAUCCUGGUCGGACAUCAGGAGGUUAGUGCAAUGGCAUAAGCCAGCUUGACUGCGAGCGUGACGGCGCGAGCAGGUGCGAAAGCAGGUCAUAGUGAUCCGGUGGUUCUGAAUGGAAGGGCCAUCGCUCAACGGAUAAAAGGUACUCCGGGGAUAACAGGCUGAUACCGCCCAAGAGUUCAUAUCGACGGCGGUGUUUGGCACCUCGAUGUCGGCUCAUCACAUCCCGGGCUGAAGUAGGUCCCAAGGGUAUGGCUGUUCGCCAUUUAAAGUGGUACGCGAGCUGGGUUUAGAACGUCGUGAGACAGUUCGGUCCCUAUCGCCGUGGGCGCUGGAGAACUGAGGGGGGCUGCUCCUAGUACGAGAGGACCGGAGUGGACGCAUCACUGGUGUUCGGGUUGUCAUGCCAAUGGCACUGCCCGGUAGCUAAAUGCGGAAGAGAUAAGUGCUGAAAGCAUCUAAGCACGAAACUUGCCCCGAGAUGAGUUCUCCCUGAGACUUUAAGUCUCCUGAAGGAACGUUGAAGACGACGACGUUGAUAGGCCGGGUGUGUAAGCGCAGCGAUGCGUUGAGCUAACCGGUACUAAUGAACCGUGAGGCUUAACCU